AGAGGGUGCAAGCGUUAAUCGGAAUUACUGGGGCGUAAAGGGCGCGUAGGUUGUAAGGUCAGUCAGAUGUGAAAUGUCCGGGGCUUAACUUGGGACAGGUCAUCUGAUACUGCCUGACUAGAGUACAGUAGAGGGAAGUGGAAUUUCCGGUGUAGCGGUGAAAUGCGUAGAUAUCGGAAGGAACAUCAGUGGCGAAGGCGACUUCCUGGACUGAUACUGACACUGAGGCGCGAAAGCGUGGGUAGCGAACAGGAUUAGAUACCCUGGUAGUCCACGCCGUAAACGAUGAGAACUAGCUGUUGGGUGCUUUUAGCAUUUAGUAGCGAAGCUAACGCGAUAAGUUCUCCGCCUGGGGAGUACGGCCGCAAGGCUA
rnacentral:rRNA from 1 species